rnacentral:rRNA from 1 species
AACGAACGCUGGCGGCAUGCCUAACACAUGCAAGUCGAACGAACCCUUCGGGGUUAGUGGCGCACGGGUGCGUAACGCGUGGGAAUCUGCCCUUUGCUUCGGAAUAACUCAGGGAAACUUGUGCUAAUACCGGAUGAUGUCGAAAGACCAAAGAUUUAUCGGCAAGGGAUGAGCCCGCGUAGGAUUAGGUAGUUGGUGGGGUAAAGGCCUACCAAGCCGACGAUCCUUAGCUGGUCUGAGAGGAUGAUCAGCCACACUGGGACUGAGACACGGCCCAGACUCCUACGGGAGGCAGCAGUGGGGAAUAUUGGACAAUGGGCGAAAGCCUGAUCCAGCAAUGCCGCGUGAGUGAUGAAGGCCUUAGGGUCGUAAAGCUCUUUUACCAGGGAUGAUAAUGACAGUACCUGGAGAAUAAGCUCCGGCUAACUCCGUGCCAGCAGCCGCGGUAAUACGGAGGGAGCUAGCGUUGUUCGGAAUUACUGGGCGUAAAGCGUACGUAGGCGGUUAUUCAAGUCAGAGGUGAAAGCCCGGGGCUCAACCCCGGAACGGCCUUUGAAACUAGGUAGCUAGAAUCUUGGAGAGGUCAGUGGAAUUCCGAGUGUAGAGGUGAAAUUCGUAGAUAUUCGGAAGAACACCAGUGGCGAAGGCGACUGACUGGACAAGUAUUGACGCUGAGGUACGAAAGCGUGGGGAGCAAACAGGAUUAUAUACCCUGGUAGUCCACGCCGUAAACGAUGA